CUUAUUUAGAUCCGCUGCUCUCUUCAGCCACUCUGCUCUCAGUCGUUCCCAGCAAUAACACAAGGAUAAAGAUGUAAAAGCAGCUCUUGGAGUCAGUCUUUAUUGACUACUUGU
rnacentral:lncRNA from 1 species